rnacentral:lncRNA from 10 species
CUGGCCAGGCGGGAGGGGCGGGGACGCAGCCGGAAGGCUGGAGGUUCCUGGAAGGUGAGGCUGGCUUGCCUUCUUGAUUUAUGUGGCCAAAGGGUAGCAGCCACCUCUGCAAAGGUCCAGUGAAGAGUCCCCUUUCCCCCAAGUAAUGCCGAGAAGAGAGAGGCAGGUGCAGCCAGCGAUGCGGCGGAGUCUCCGCAAGAGAGCGAGGGCCUGGCGUGGGGCGCACACGCACGCGCGUCUUGGGUCCCUGCAGAGAGGUGUCCCCAGUGCUGUGCCCUGUUCGGUGCCGGGAGCGGUGCCACGGGCCCGCCGCCGCCCUAGUAAGGUGUCGGGGCCUUUGCGCGCCUAGCGCCAUGGCCGCGUCGCCGCUCCUCCGCACCUCCCAGGCUCCACGAACACGGCCAGGCAUUUCCAAGUAGAGGGCAGAACCCUCUCCCCAUCUCCCCACUUAGCACCUGGGAGGCCCCGUGGAGGAGGCUAGGACCUCUGGGGGUUCCACACUCUGCUGGUGGUGCUGGCUCCUGGCGGGAGCUUCUGCCCUCACGGGGCGGCCUCCCGGUUCCGCUGUAGGAAAGCCCUGCCCGACGUCUCCUGGAAGGGCCCUCCAUGGUGAGUUAUGGGCUAAAACUACCCUUCUCGAAAUGCGAACAAUCAGAAGGAUCCUCCCGCCCCCCAUCCUUUACUCCCAAAUAAGCUCCACGGACUUUCUCAAACCCAACCCAUUAAUGUAGAAAAAAAAAAAAAUAGAAUUGGUAUCUGAGCUGCAGAGGUGGGAAAGGUGGACUCCAAGCCCCAGGGAAAGAGCUCCUGUUUAGCCGCCAAGCCCUUCCCCACAGGUGACUGGUGGUUUGAACUGAGGGCAGGGACCAGCUGUCCCCUCCCAUGUCCACACUAGCUGGGGCACACCGUCUUCUGUGUUUUCCUGCCUUGGCUCAACACAUAGGCCUCUCCAAAUCCUUCCAACCCGAACAAUGGAAGGGAAGAAGGAAAGGAGGGGCUGAGGAAGGAAACAGACACUGACCAAAGCCCAGAGGUUGGAAACCAUGGCUCUUAAAAGCAGAGAUGAAGAGAAAAGAGUGAGUUCAAAAGACAGAGCAUGAGAAAGACCCCACCCGCUAUUACUGGCUUUGAAGAUGGAGAGAAGAGGCCACAAGCCAAGGAAUGCAGCAGCUUCCAGAAGCAUGAAAGAGCCCUUAGGUUACAGCCAGCAAGGGAAGGAAACUGCGACCCUACAGCCACAAGACUUGACUUCUGCCAACAGCCAGAAGGAGCAGGAAAUACGUUCUCCCUGAGAGCCUCCAGAAAGGAACACAGUCUGCCCACACCUUAAUUUUAGCCUGGGGAGGCCCAUACCAGGUCUCUGCUUUACAGAAUUGUAAGAUAAUAAAUUUGGAGUUUUUUUAAACUACUAAAUUUGUGGUCAUUUGUAAAGGCAGUAACAGAAAAACUAAAACACUUUACUAUCUAUACGUAGAUUUAACUGCUUUUUUUUUUUUUCUUUUUAAGAGAUGGUCUCACUCUGUUGCCCAAGUUGGAGUACAGAGGUGCAAUCAUAUCUCACUGCAGCCUUGAACUCCUGGGCUCAAGCCAUCCUCCCACCUCAGGCUCCUGGAUAACUGGGACUACAGGCACACCACCAUGCCUGGCUAAUUUUUUUUUUCUUUUUUUUUUUUAGAGAUGAGGUCUUGCUAUGUUGCCCAGCUGGUCUCAAAUUCCUAGCUUCAAAUGAUCCUCCCACCUUGGCCUCCCAAAGCUCUGGGAAUGAAGGCAUGAGCCACCAUGCCCAGUCUAGAUUUAACUUUUAAAUACAGUUCUAUUUUUAUAGGGGGGGAAAAUCCCAAAAUAGAAUAACAAGCAGGUUUUCUUUUACUCAGUUAACUAUUCCUAAGAGAAACCUUGAUAUUCUGGAUAUUUGAACCCUGAGACUAAUCCAGGCACCCUUUUCUCCUGGUAGCAGCUUGUGCAAUGAGGU